UACGAAGGGUGCGAGCGUUGUUCGGAAUCACUGGGCGUAAAGGGCGCGUAGGCGGCCCUCUUUGUCGCGUGUGAAAGCCCCGGGCUCAACCUGGGAACGGCGCGCGAAACGGGGGGGCUGGAGUUCGGGAGAGGAGAGUGGAAUUCCCAGUGUAGAGGUGAAAUUCGUAGAUAUUGGGAAGAACACCGGUGGCGAAGGCGGCUCUCUGGACCGAGACUGACGCUGAGGUGCGAAAGCGUGGGGAGCAAACAGG
rnacentral:rRNA from 1 species